rnacentral:rRNA from 1 species
GACGAACGCUGGCGGCGUGCUUAACACAUGCAAGUCGAACGGACAGGCCCUGCUUUUGUUGGGUGCUCGAGUGGCGAACGCGUGUGUAACACGUGAGUAACCUGCCCUUGACUUUGGGAUAACUUCUGGAAACUGGGGCUAAUACCGGAUAGGAGCUCCUGCUGCAUGGUGGGGGUUGGAAAGUUUCGGCGGUUGGGGAUGGACUCGCGGCUUAUCAGCUUGUUGGUGGGGUAGUGGCUUACCAAGGCUUUGACGGGUAGCCGGCCUGAGAGGGUGACCGGCCACAUUGGGACUGAGAGACGGCCCAGAAUCCUACGGGAGGCAGCAGUGGGGAAUAUUGCGCAAUGGGCGGAAGCCUGAUGCAGCAACGCUGCGUGCGGGAUGACGGCUUACUGGUUGUAAACCGCUUUCGCCUGUGACGAAGCGGGAGUGACGGUAAUGGGUAAAGAAGCACCGGCUAACUACGUG